CUUGAUGGUUGAAUGAAAGAGGGACAUCUUUGGGUGUGCUGGUGUCGUACCAGUCUGUCAACCCGCUUUCGUUCUGCCACCAUA
rnacentral:antisense_RNA from 2 species